rnacentral:rRNA from 1 species
AUUGAACGCUGGCGGCAUGCCUUACACAUGCAAGUCGAACGGUAACAGGUCUUCGGAUGCUGACGAGUGGCGAACGGGUGAGUAAUACAUCGGAACGUGCCUAGUAGUGGGGGAUAACUACUCGAAAGAGUGGCUAAUACCGCAUGAGAUCUACGGAUGAAAGCAGGGGAUCGAAAGACCUUGUGCUACUAGAGCGGCCGAUGGCAGAUUAGGUAGUUGGUGGGAUAAAAGCUUACCAAGCCGACGAUCUGUAGCUGGUCUGAGAGGACGAUCCGCCACACUGGGGCUGAGACACGGCCCAGGCUGCGACGGGAGGCAGCAGUGGGGAAUUUUGGAAAAUGGGCGAAAGCCUGGUCCAGCAAUGCCGGGGGCAGGAUGAAGGCCUUCGGGUUGUAAACUGCUUUUGUACGGAACGAAAAGCCCUGGGUUAAUACCCUGGGGUCACGACGGUACCGUAAGAAUAAGCACCGGCUAACUACGUGCCAGCAGCCGCCGCAGUAA